UACGUAGGAGGCAAGCGUUAUCCGGAAUGACUGGGCGUAAAGGGUGCGUAGGUGGUUUGGCAAGUUAGUAGCGUAAUUCCGGGGCUCAACUUCGGAACUACUACUAAAACUGCUGGGCUUGAGUGCAGGAGGGGCAUAUGGAAUUCCUAGUGUAGCGGUGGAAUGCGUAGAUAUUAGGAGGAACACCAGUGGCGAAGGCGGCCUGCUGGACGGUGACUGACGCUGAGGCUCGAAAGCGUGGGGAGCAAACAGG
rnacentral:rRNA from 1 species